rnacentral:rRNA from 1 species
GUCCUAGCCGUAAACGGUGCACGUUUGCUGUAAGAGGAAUCGACCCCUUUUGUGGCGUAGCCAACGCGUUAAACGUGCCGCCUGGGAAGUACGGUCGCAAGAUUAAAACUCAAAGAAAUUGACGGGUGCCUGCACAAGCGGUGGAGUAUGUGGCUCAAUUCGAUGCAACGCGAAGAACCUUACCUGGCCUUGACAUGUACGUAGUAGAAGGGUGAAAGCCUGACUAGGUAGCAAUACCAGCGUACACAGGUGCUGCAUGGCUGUCGU